UUUCCGAACAGUGAGUCCGUGCCAAGCUUAUCCUGCGCCUCCAGCGCUUGCAAGCGUCCGGAUUGCUCGGAGCGAAACCGAAGCGAAGAGCUUCUAUGUUCAUCCUCGUCCCUCGUCUUCUCCUCUCUUUCUUCUCUCCGAAAUCGCACGAAUUAAGUUAUUUCUCCUCUUAAAGAAAUUAGGGUUUCUGGAUUCGAUUAUCGGAACCUUGGAUCUCCUCCGAACGACGAGAUUAGGUACGUAGCUCGAUAAUCUUCGGGGACGUGGAAGGGAUAGUGGUGGUGUUCGCCUGGCUCUCGAGCGAGGAGAGGCAUCUCAAGCCGUAUAUAGAUCUGUAUUGGUCUCUCGGGUGGAGCUGCCUCAUCUGCCAUUCUGAUUUCCUCACACUUACUCAAAGCAUUCUUCUUGGACUUGGAAUAAAUUGCAGUCUAUUUCUUGGAUGAGCUUUCCCAGAAUUUGCAUCAUAUAAUCAUACCAUUUAACCUGGAUUGAAUUAAGUUUUGGCCCAGCCAAAUGACCUGAUUGGUGAGCCUUGCCCAUUUGAAUCCCUAAGGCCAUCUAGCUCUAACAGAAAUUGACAUCAACUGGUUGGAUUAUAAUUUGUUUUCAUCUCUUGUGCACUGCUGGAGAAACAGGAAGUGAAGAAUAGGCCAUUGCCUAUUGUACUCGUGGCUUUUUCUGGAGGUUCAAAAGGUUGCAUGUACAAGGUUGUUCAGGUAUAUACUUUGGUGCUGGAUACGACCCAAUAGUGUGCUUUAUGUUUAACUUUAGUUUAUGUCUUCUAGUUCUUAUUCUUUUGAUCUCCUCUUCCAGUUGCUUUAUGGAAAAUGUGAUGGACAUCUCAGUCUGGUUUGCUCAUUUACAUUUAGAUGCAAAUCCAAUUGCUUGUUGUUACAUAAUAUUUGCAAUGCUGGGCAUGCACAAAACAUGUCUUUUUGAAAAAAAUAGAAAAAGGGGCAUAUUAGACAGGAUUUGAGGAGAAAGAUGGAUGGGUUAGGUCCCUUGUUUCUCCUCUCUCUUUUUCCCAUAGGGAGCCGAUGAGACUCAAAAUCCCAAAAUAGUAUUCCUCAUGCCUUCAUAAAUUCCCAUGUUCGAUUUUAUGGUGAUGCAAAGAGUUCAGAUACGAAGGAUUCGGCAUGUUGAAUCUGGAUACAAAAGCCUUUCCCUCUCAAAUAGAAGAAGAGAGAUGAAAGUCUUGUGUGCAUAUUAAUGAAAUUGAAGAUUGUAAAGGUUAAUUGAUCUAUAUAUUCAUGCCUUCACAGUAUCUUCUGCAUAUAUGAUAGAGAGCCUGCUGAAAUAAAUGGUUUGAAGAACUUAGUCACCAUAAAUUUCAUCUGAGUUGGUGAUUAUUCAGUUAUCAUUUUAUGGCCAUUAGACCUCUACUCUGCUCGUUGAUGCAGUUGAAGUUGGAGGUGCUGUUGUCUCUGUAGAUUAUCCCUUCCAUAUUUUUUGUGUUGAUUAUAGGGAAUCGAUGAUUCUGCAGGACUUGUUUGUGCUUGUCAAGAUUGCCCAUUACUACAGGAACAGAAAUACAGGCAUUACUUAUUUUAGUUGUACUUUUAAUAACUUCAUGAUAUUCUUGAUUUAUAAAUUAUUUUUCUCCCGAAGGAUGAAUAUCAGCUUGUAAGAGACUGCAUUUGUGGACAAAUAUAUGAUUCAAGUCCUGUAGACUUUACCAGUGAUGUGGGCACUCAUUAUUUCCUUCAUCCUAUUGUUCUAAAAAUGUCUCGCCCACCAAGAGUUGUAUCAUGGAUGGCAAAAGCCCUGGCAUCUGUAAGUUUUAAUUAGUGGUGAUGUAUCAUUGAAUGGACAAGGAAAAUAGUUACUCGAUGGAAUCCACAGAAUUUCCAAAGCAAUGAUACUUUUGUAGAUGCAAUUGCUGUGAUUAGUCACUGGAGAUGCAUCAAAUAAUUUAACAGAAUAUUUUAUCGAUACAUGUUACAAUAAACUAAAAGCAAUGCAAAUUUGCUUGCAUGAAUGAUGGCUGCAUUAUUUUCAUAUAUGAACUAGUAUCAACUCUGAUAGGAUUUGUUUGCUUUAAGCAAUAUCCAUCAAUUCCUCUGUUAUCCAAAAUUUGAAUGUCAUUGAUAUAUUUUGUUUUACCUUCAACACAUUACAAGUAUCACCAAGCUGAGUACAAGGAUGCUGUGUCUGAGAUGCUUGUUGGACUAGCUAUAACCUAUUGCGAGAGAAGGCAACUAAAUGGUGAAACACUGGGCAAUGGAGGUGCCUGCAACAAGAUAUCAGAGUCAGUUUGCAGUCUUCAUGAAGCAGCAGUGUGCUCGAGUGAAACUCUUAGAAGGGCAGCAAAUGACCCCGGCGAUCAAUUCUUAUUGCCCAGCCCAACGGAGCCUAAUGAAACUAAAGGCGCUAUAUCUUUGCUCAACAAGAAAAAAGUGGAGUUGUUCCAUUUCCUUAGCAUCCAUCUCCAUGGGAUUCUGGGCCAAAUUCUUUAUGAUGUGUGUGUUCCUAAGAACAUCGAAGGUUGGGACAUAAAGCCAGUGUUGUCCAUCGAUGGAAGGCAGAUGCAUGCUUCUGCGUGCAGGCAUAACUCUUUCAAUCCUAUCAGAUACAUACGCCGCUGUAGAUUGUAGGGUGGAAACUCUGAUGAAUCUGGAUGUGAAUAUUGACCACUAAUGAUGCUCGGCCUCUGAUCCGGGGACUUGCAUGACAAUUGGGCUUUAAAGGGAUUCCGAUUGUUAUGACUUAUUCUCGACACAUCCAAUGGCUGUCAUGAAUACCAAGUUUCCUGAGAACCAACUUCCCGGAGUUUGAAAGAUCACAGGUUUUUCUCAUUUUUACCUUGUGACCAUGGUUCUUUAGUUAUUUUGAAGCUCCUAACCAUGGCGAUGCUGUCGUAAAAUUUUCUUGCUAAAGAUAGAAUAUGCUUCUUGUACUGCUGACAACUUUUGCUGAACAGCCCUUGCACUUGUAAUAAAUCUUACUCCUUAGAUGCUUCUUUCUCGUUA